rnacentral:lncRNA from 1 species
UUGGGGUCUAGUUUGUAUUAAAAGUUCAGAGUGCCAAAUUUACUGCAAAAUUCGCAUAUGUUUUGCUAUUUUUGGUCAAAAUUGCAGGAACACAAGUGAGUUGUGAUUAGAUGGAGCCCGGCACAAAGAUGGUUAAGGAACUUGAUGUUGGAUGACUUCAUGGAAGAACGAGAGAGGACCAGCACUAAUAGACAUGUAACUACCAUGGAGUCACUGGUCGCUGGUAAGGAGGUGGUGUCACCUGGCCAAAGCAGCAACCUAUAAGUGGCUAUAGUGAUGUCAUUAGGUGCAAGAAGGUGCCCCUAGAGAUUCAAGAAAUGAUGAGAGAGAGAACUUGGAGAGUCUAAAGGAGGAGAAGC